rnacentral:rRNA from 1 species
CCUACGGGGGGCAGCAGUGAGGAAUAUUGGUCAAUGGACGAGAGUCUGAACCAGCCAAGUAGCGUGAAGGAUGACUGCCCUAUGGGUUGUAAACUUCUUUUAUAUGGGAAUAAAACGUUCCACGUGUGGGAUUUUGUAUGUACCAUAUGAAUAAGGAUCGACUAACUCCGUGCCAGCAGCCGCGGUAAUACGGAGGAUCCGAGCGUUAUCCGGAUUUAUUGGGUUUAAAGGGAGCGUAGGUGGAUUGUUAAGUCAGUUGUGAAAGUUUGCGGCUCAACCGGAAAAUUGCAGUUGAGACUGGCAGUCUUGAGUACAGUAGAGGUGGGCGGAAUUCGUGGUGUAGCGGUGAAAUGCUUAGAUAUCACGAAGAACUCCGAUUGCGAAGGCAGUUCACUGGACUGCAACUGACACUGAGGCUCGAAAGUGUGGGUAUCAAACAGGAUUAGAUACCCGAGUAGUC